rnacentral:rRNA from 1 species
UGGGGAAUAUUGGACAAUGGGCGAAAGCCUGAUCCAGCCAUGCCGCGUGUGUGAAGAAGGUCUUCGGAUUGUAAAGCACUUUAAGUUGGGAGGAAGGGCCAUUACCUAAUACGUGAUGGUUUUGACGUUACCGACAGAAUAAGCACCGGCUAACUCUGUGCCAGCAGCCGCGGUAAUACAGAGGGUGCAAGCGUUAAUCGGAAUUACUGGGCGUAAAGCGCGCGUAGGUGGUUUGUUAAGUUGGAUGUGAAAUCCCCGGGCUCAACCUGGGAACUGCAUUCAAAACUGACUGACUAGAGUAUUGGUAGAGGGUGGUGGAAUUUCCUGUGUAGCGGUGAAAUGCGUAGAUAUAGGAAGGAACACCAGUGGCGAAGGCGACCACCUGGACUGAUACUGACACUGAGGUGCGAAAGCGUGGGGAGCAAACAGGAUUAGAUACCCAUGUAGUCCCUGAGCGGGCUGGCAAGGCGCAU